GACGAACGCUGGCGGCGUGCUUAACACAUGCAAGUCGAACGAAGAGGCACGGCUUUUUUCUUCUGUCAAUCUUAGUGGCGGAUGGGUGAGUCAUGCGUAAUCUACCUUCCCUUUAGAGGGGGCCUACAGUUGGUAACGCUAACUCAUACUACAUACUCUCUCUUCUCGGUAUCGAGGAUGGAGUUAAGGUGGCUUCUACUUGUAUGCUGUCACUGCAGCAGGGUAUUGCGGCUGUUUAGGUAGAUGGCGGGGUAACGGCCCAGCAAGGGGAUGAUCAGUAGUCAGUAUGGGAGGAUGGACGGCCAGAAUGGGAAGGAGACACGGCCCAGACUGCUACGGGAGGCAGCAGAGGGGAAUAUGGCGCAAUGGACGAAAGUCUGACGGAGCAACGCCGGGUGAGUGAUGACGGACUUCGGAUUGGAAAGCUCUGUUAAUCGGGACGAAAGGCGUUCUUGCGAAUAAUGAGAAGGAUUGACGGUACCGGAAUAGAAAGCCACGGCUAACUACGUG
rnacentral:rRNA from 1 species